AAACACAUGGCUGCUAAUUUAGAAAUGUGCAAAAUGUUACAUGUUGUCUCUGCCCAUAUGUUGUGUAAUAUGUGCAAAACGAAUGUAGCGUUUAUCAAGCCUGGCUGUCUGUCACCGCAGGAGAUUCUCUCACAUUCAAGGAGGCUUUAACCCAUUGGGUCCCACUGAAGUCCAUUAUAUGGAGAAAAGUACUGGAAUAUUUACCUCAAAAACCUUCAUUUCUUUUCGACUGAAGAAAGAAAGACUUGAACAUCUUGGAUGACAUGGGGGGUAUUCGAGUUCCUGGCAGUGCCAGCUGGAAGAACCACAGGCUGAUGCCAACAUCCCCCACUUUACCUGGCAUUGUGCCCUCCGCAUGCCCGUGCCGUGCACUGAGUUGCCGCGACAACCAAAGCAGUGAAGUGGAGCAAUCCCAGCUGCAGCCCAGAGAAC